GUGUCUCAGUGCCUGUCAUCAUCUGCAUCCUCCUGGGAGCCCUUCUCUGCCUGCUCCUGGCCCUCCUGGCUGGACAAGUGCAAAGUGCCAGGGCUGGGCACAGAGCUGCCCAGGCCCCUUGGGAGCCCUUCCCUGAGGCUGUGUAUGAGGAGAUUGGCUACAGCACAGCGUGGGAGAAGCAGGAGAGGUUCAGUGACUCAGGCUCCUAUUCAGAGGGGUCUUUGGCCAAGCUGCAGCCCAAGCCUGGUGACAGAGAGGAGGAGGAGGAUGGCCUGGAGUCAACAGCAGAUGUCUCUGUGCUGGCUGGAGGUGACCCACUGGAUGGCUAUGAUGAUGCCAGGGACAUUGCUAACCCUGGGCAGGAGCCUGUGUUUAG